rnacentral:rRNA from 1 species
AGUGAACGCUGGCGGUAGGCCUAACACAUGCAAGUCGAACGGCAGCACAGGAGAGCUUGCUCUCUGGGUGGCGAGUGGCGGACGGGUGAGGAAUACAUCGGAAUCUACUCUGUCGUGGGGGAUAACGUAGGGAAACUUACGCUAAUACCGCAUACGACCUACGGGUGAAGGCAGGGGACCUUCGGGCCUUGCGCGAUUGAAUGAGCCGAUGUCGGAUUAGCUAGUUGGCGGGGUAAAGGCCCACCAAGGCGACGAUCCGUAGCUGGGCUGAGAGGAUGAUCAGCCACACUGGAACUGAGACACGGUCCAGACCCCUACGGGAGGCAGCAGUGGGGAAUAUUGGACAAUGGGCGCAAGCCUGAUCCAGCCAUACCGUGUGGGUGAAGAAGGCCUUCGGGUUGUAAAGCCCUUUUGUUGGGAAAGAAAUCCAGCUGGCUAAUACCCGGUUGGGACGACGGUACCCAAAGAAUAAGCACCGGCUAACUUCGUGCCAGCCGCCGCCGUAA